AUGUUUACCUGACAGUGGGGAUACCGUGAUCAUGAAGGUGGUUCUACCAUGACAAGGCUUAUCCAAUGUAUUAUAGCUUGUUUGCCUCUAUGAUUCCCCAAAUUCUGGAAACCCAACUGGAUAACCUUUGGUAGCAGGGAACUGUUUUCAGAUUGUUCUCUG